GCCGGGGUAGCUCAGUGGCAGAGCAACGGUUUCGUAAACCGUAGGCCGUGGGUUCAACUCCCAUCCCCGGCU
rnacentral:tRNA from 1 species